AGAAUCAACGCUGGCGGCGUGCCUCAGACAUGCAAGUCGAACGCGAAAGUUCCCUUCGGGGGCAAGUAGAGUGGCGCACGGGUGAGUAACACGUAGGUAAUCUACCUUUGGAUGGGGAAUAACAACCGGAAACGGUUGCUAAUACCGCAUAAUGCAGCGGCACCUAAUGGUGACAGUUGUUAAAGCGGGGGAUCGAAAGACCUCGCGUCUGAAGAGGAGCCUGCGGCGGAUUAGCUAGUUGGUAAGUAACGGCUUACCAAGGCAACGAUCC
rnacentral:rRNA from 1 species